AUUGAACGUUGGCGGCAUGCCUUACACAUGCAAGUCGAACGGUAACAGGUCUUCGGAUGCUGACGAGUGGCGAACGGGUGAGUAGUACAUCGGAACGUGCCUAGUAGUGGGGGGUAACUACUCGAAAGAGUGGCUAAUACCGCAUGAGAUCUACGGAUGAAAGCAGGGGAUCGCAAGACCCUGUGCUACUAGAGCGGCCGAUGGCAGAUUAGGUAGUUGGUGGGAUAAAAGCUUACCAAGCCGACGAUCUGUAGCUGGUCUGAGAGGACGAUCAGCCACACUGGGACUGAGACACGGCCCAGACUCCUACGGGAGGCAGCAGUGGGGAAUUUUGGACAGUGGGCGCAAGCCUGAUCCAGCAAUGCCGCGUGCAGGAUGAAGGCCUUCGGGUUGUAAACUGCUUUUGUACGGAACGAAAAGCCCCGGGUUAAUACCCUGGGGUCAUGACGGUACCGUAAGAAUAAGCACCGGCUAACUACGUGCCAGCCGCCGCCGUAA
rnacentral:rRNA from 1 species